CACACAGCAGACAAGGCCGUGGAUGGCACCAAGCUUAAAUACAUUUCAUCCCAUUGCACACAAUAACCCAGCAGCUCACCAGCUCAGACAGGAGCAGUGCAGCCCCCCAUGUGCAUGAAUGGCUGUAGCCCCAUCCCUCCUUCUGCAGAACCCAGGUUUUGCAACGGAAUCUUAUUCUCCAGAAUUGCAUCCGCCUCCAACCCCACUUAGAGCUGCCAAAGCCUGCACUUCCCCCGGGACCAGCCUGCAAGUGGCAGAGAUGGAUGGGAUGACAUGGGCAUGACUUCACCCUUCUGUCCUGCUGCUGGAGCCAGGGGCUGUCAGGAUUCCCAGAGGGAGCCCCCCUGUUCUGGCCCUGUGCUGCAGCCCCUCCAGCCCACCUGGAUCAACCCCCCAGACCAGAGCCAUGGCGUGCCACAGCCCCUGCCCCAGCCUCGGGGCUGGAUGAGACCCCGGGGAGAGCAUCCCUGUGAGCAGCAAGACAACAUCAAAGCCCAACAUCAGCUCCAGGCUCUGACUCUGCUCCCUCCGCACAGAUCCAGCCCCACAGUCACUCCUGUUAACCCAGGAAGGGCCAGUGUCUGUGGUCAUGUGAAAGGUGCUCGUGCCCCCCCUGAAAUGCUUUCUGGGAAUCAGUGGGGGCACUAAACUGGUUGUGCAGAGUUCACCUCCCCUUCUCCACAAACCCAAGCAGGUAAUUAUCUCUCUGUGAGCUUCAAUCCCUCCUUGAGGCACAGACGUGCCCCAGUCCUGGCCCUUCACACAGACAAGUGUUUCUCAAACCACUGUAGCAUUCAAGAAAUAAAAGCCCCUGCCUUGCUCUUGCCCUGGCAGUUUGCAGUCCCCCUUGCUUGUAGGCUGUUGUGGGAUCAAACGCUUCAGGCUGAUUUAUCCACGGGAGAUGGAAGCGCAGACAGAUGGGAGGGAGCGCAAACCCAGGCGGGCGAUAAAUCACAGCAGGGCAGCUCUGCCUGCUCUGCGGCUGUGCCGGCCAGCCCCGAGCUGUGUCCAUGUCCCAUUCCCUGGGGAGGGCAGACUCCAGCUCCCCAGGCGUGCUGCACCCCGGCAUUAUCCCGGCUGUGCUCCCCGCCAGGCACAGCCCCGAGCAGUGACCAGGGGACAAAGCUGCAGGCUCAGCAAGCUUCCCACUUCCCGUCUUUGCUCUCCCACAUCCAAGGAAAUGUGAUCCCCUUGGGAAGUUUCCUGGAAAAAGUGGAAACACACUCGCUGCUGGGAUGAGGCUGACAGCAAGGGAUGUCUCGUGGGAUCCGGGACAGGACAACCUGCCUUGAACUUACGCUCAAGGACGUCUGUCUUGCAAAGCUCAGCACAGCACAAAGAGAUCCGAACGAGCUUUUGAUGAGCUUCCAGCAAGAUAAAGGAGCUCCCCUGACCCCGCUCCAUCUCCCUGAGCGAGAUCAUCAAUAAACCAGCGCCGCUGCAGCCUGCGGCUCAGACGGGCUCUCGA